rnacentral:rRNA from 1 species
UGCCAGCCGCCGCGGUAAUACGGAGGGUGCAAGCGUUAAUCGGAAUUACUGGGCGUAAAGCGUGCGUAGGCGGUUUAUUAAGUCAGAUGUGAAAGCCCCGGGCUUAACCUGGGAACUGCAUUUGAAACUGGUCAACCAGAGUAUGGUAGAGGAAAGUGGAAUUUCUGGUGUAGCGGUGAAAUGCGUAGAUAUUCGGAGGAACACCAAUUGCGAAGGCAGUUCACUGGACCGUGAUCGACGCUGAGGAGCGAAAGCUAGGGGAGCAAACAGGAUUAGAUA